AUUGAACGCUGGCGGCAGGCCUAACACAUGCAAGUCGAGCGAGCGGCGGACGGGUGAGUAAUGUCUGGGAAACUGCCUGAUGGAGGGGGAUAACUACUGGAAUCGGUAGCUAAUACCGCAUACCAUCAGAUGUGCCCAGAUGGGAUUAGCUAGUAGGUUGGGUAACGGCUCACCUAGGCGACGAUCCCUAGGUGGUCUGAGAGGAUGACCAGGCACACUGGAACUGAGACACGGUCCAGACCCCUACGGUAGGCAGCGGUGGGGAAUAUUGCACAAGUGGAGCAAGCCUGAUGCAGCCAUGCCGCGUGUGUGAAAAAGGCCUUCGGGUUGUAAAGCACUUUCAGCGGGGAGGCGUUACCCGAAGAAGAAGCACCGGCUAACUCCGUGCCAGCAGCCGCGGUAAUUC
rnacentral:rRNA from 1 species